UUAUUAAUAAUAAUUAAUUAUUACUAUUAUUAGAGAUUAACUCUGGAAUUCAGCCUUCUAUUUUCUAGGGCCACGUGUCCUAAAGGAAAAAGCGGGGGUUUGAAGCCCCGCAGCAGCGGAGAGAGGCGAAAGAGCCCAGGCUGAACCGGGGCCACCGGGGGAACGAGCCGUAGAUUUGGAGGGUCCUCUCCAGAGCCGACGUACCUGGAAUCGUGUGGAUCUGGAGAGAUCCCGGCGAGUGACUGAGAAGUCAGAACAGUCGAGGAACCAGACGGGAGGAGGAAAAACCGGCGCAGGAAACGCAGGAGAGGCCAAAUGGAAACCAAGAGAGCAGCGCGUUCAUAAGAAUCAGUUGUGCCCGGGACUCACCCAGAUUAACCCUUCCAGGAAUCCGUUCCAUCAGGGUGGUUCAUUAAAUCCAAGUGGACAACGGCCACGUUGAGACAAACCGUUGGAGGAGGAAAAUGCAUUCUCUUCGUUAUCCUGUUUAGAAAGGAUUAUGAGGACUCUCUACCUGCUUAAAAACUGGACAGUGAAAAUACAGUAAUAAACUUUGCAUGAAGAAUGGGAAGCUAAAGCUCGUACCUUUAAAAGCAAUUAGAUGACGGCGCUACUGCUGAAUAUAGUUUUUUAAAUAUUAGACUGGACAAAAGUCGCCUCCUAAUUAUAAACCGAAUUCUGGGUCCGUUCUCGUCAUGAAAGUCCUGAUGCGAUCUCUUGAAUACUGUGUAGUUGGAAGUCUUGAUAUGAAGAUAGGAGCAUUGUGUUCACUCGGAUUAGUCAAAAUACUGCUUAGCUGUUACAUAUGCCCAUGUUUUAUAUAUAUCUAUGCAAAUAUAGAUAUAUAUGUGGCAUAAAUAUAGGAGUAUUUCUAUUUUGAA